GUGCUUUCUUUGGCAGCACAUAUACUAAAAUUGGAAUGAUACAGAAAAGAUUAGCAUGGCUCCUGCACAAGGAUGACAUGCAAAUUCGUGAAGCAUUUCGCAUUUUU
ensembl:snRNA U6 U6 spliceosomal RNA